ACCGAGGUUUCAGAACGGUCGGCUCGCAUCGCUAAUCGAGCUGCGCCACGCUCGCUUUAACGUUUUCACGUACGAUCUCUGACGUGUCCGGUGAUUACAUAAAACGGUUCUGCCCUUGUCCCCUCUGGAAUGAUCGAUUGGUCUCGCGUUUUCUGGCCGCGGAUUACCGCGACCGCACGCCUCUAAACGGAUUCUUUGGCGGCCAGCGUGGAAGGUUAUCUGGCCGAGUGUCUUUAUGUACACGUACACUAUCGUUCGUGAGACUUGCUGGCCGACGCGAGUAUAAAACUCGCUAAAACGUAGACUAAAACUGUCGCAAGGACGUCGAACGGUUCGUUCGGGUUCGCUACGAGGCGUUUCUCGUGCGUGGCUGGCCUUCAGUUUGACUUCUGCCCGAAAAGAUCGAAGCAUCGUCCGCGGUAUCGCGUCUAUACAUAAUGCUGACAUAAUAUUCCGGCUGGCCACGGUAAAAAAUAAAAUUCCAUGGCCUCGGUGGCCUUCGCGAGUACAAAGAAUCCUGCUGGAACGGCUGGCCGUGCGGAUUUAGGAACAGACGUAUCAGUGGCCGUAGAUAAUCAGACACAGAUAUCGAGAAGAGAUUAGUAUCUUCGACAGGACUAAGGUGAUACGUACUUCAUUUUGAUUUGUAUAUUAUACUCGGAAGGAUAAAGAUUGGUUAUUUUCUACUCGCAUCGUUGGACUAUGGAUGAUUGGAUGCCAACUGGAUUACGCUAAAUGAAGAAAUUAAUUAAUUAUAAUUUGCAUGAAUUAUUUUACGUCGUAUAAAUCGAAUAAAACUUCCUCGUGGAAUUCCAUUUGUCUUGUUACUAAACCUUUUAUCGUUACUAAUCGAUAAACAAAUUUAACUUGUAAUUCGUAACUCGUACAGUUUCUCGAGUGACAUUAAUCCAAUUAUACGCAUAAGGAAACUUAGUGAACGGUUAAAAGAACGAAGAAAAAUUAACCUUUAGAUUUCACUUAUUGUUUGUUACAUCUAUAUACUUAGAGAAACUAUUACUGCCAUGUUACGUUUUUCUUGCGACCAUGCAACGAUUAUAAGUAACAUGUUCGCUUAUUACACGAAAUAACAGAGAUAUUCGAGCUAGCAGUUGCACAAUUCCACUUUUGUCCUUCAAUUUUCUUCUUUUCUCUCUGUUCCUUUCGUUUCCUCUAGUUCAUUCAGAUGUGUAUGUACCUACUCGCGAGGGAAGCACACGCGUGUAGACGAUGGCGUUGUUCGAGGUUAUGAUCGUACGACCGGCCGGAUCCGUACUUGAACUCCGGCGUUUAUCGCGAUAACGCGGCAACGUGUGCUUAUCAGAGAUCUGGAUAUAACGUUCGGUGUGUUUAAAUGGCGCAGUAAACAGAGGAUCGGUAGAAACACACCGCUCUUCGUAUAUAUAGUACUUAUCGCUACUUCUUAUACCGCCGAAGGUUUUUCGAUCCGAAUACAUACCUGGACGCGUGAAAUUGAUUCGUUGGAUAAAAUCAAUAUUUCAACUUGAAACUACGUAAUAAU